rnacentral:lncRNA from 1 species
UACAUAGAUUGAGUCUGAGCAAAUAGUUGCUAAGUUUGCUCUAAAUGAGUUGAAGUAUCAUUUUUAUUUUGAAGUCAAAGAUAUAAAUUAUCUGGAUAAAAAAUAUUACAAAUAUCUGUAUGAGGUUGGUAAUAGAGCUCAUGAUGGUUUGUAGGUACAGUAUAAGAACCUGCAAUAUCAUUACAAUUUAGCGAUGGAGAGCUAUAGGCAACUUGAAGCAAAAUAUAAUGCUUUACAGGAGGAGGUCGCUAGAUAUAG